GAUGGUGGUAUUAGCGGUGAGGCCACACCUGUUCCCAUCCCGAACACAGCAGUUAAGCUCACCCGCGCCGAUGGUACUGCAUGGGCAACUGUGUGGGAGAGUAGGUCGCCGCCAUCG
rnacentral:rRNA from 1 species